rnacentral:rRNA from 1 species
GGGUGCGAUCAUACCAGCGUUAAUGCACUGGAUCCCAUCAGAACUCCGCAAUUAAGCACGCUUGGGCCAGAUUAGUACUGGGAUGGGUGACCUCCUGGGAAGUCCUAGUGUUGCACCCU